GUCUGCUCACUGGUGGGGGCGUAUCAGGACAGACAUAUGCUUUCGCUUUCGUCCGAUGGCCGCUCUCAGGUUUCUUUCUGGCUCUACCGAAGUGUCACAAUGUGUAUAUCUGAUACGGGCAUCAAGCAGAGGCUCGUCGAGCAGAUUGAAGAAUAAUUUGUAGAAAGAUUUGCAGUUUUCGAAAUCAAAUACUUCGUACAGACGAGUUAUAUUGGCGCGUCGAUAAAGUACAAGUUGAUGCUUGCGAUUGCCGUCAAGUUGUGACGUAUCACUUGUGUCGUUGUGGAAGACAUAUUUAACAUGUCACUUGCUGUAAAAAAAUUGUUACAGAGAAGCGUGACUUACUGGUUCUUUGUACCGAUGUUCAUAGGACUACACAUAGGUUGGUACUCGCUACAACAAACUUACGUGCCGGAAAAUGAAAGACACGUUCAUCCGUUUAUGAAAUAUUAUAAGAAGUUUACCACGUAAGAGUGUGUAUGGUAUUGGUAAUACAGUCAAUGGAACAAUUUGUUAUUUUGUAGAAAACUCUUUAUUGUAAGAUAUGUACGUACGAAUUGCACGCGUUUGCUUCUAUGCGCAAGUAUAAACAUAUACCUAAAUCUGAAGUUGGAAUUGAAAUAAAAAAGUAAACAAAAGAGAAAAAGAGAAAAAUCUGAGAAAUUCUCGAGGAAAAAGAAAUGUGCGAAUAAACUGUUAAAGGAUAACAA